rnacentral:tRNA from 1 species
UGCAAUAUAGUUUAAUUAAAAUGCUUAUUUUACACGUAAGAGUUUCCUAAAGGAUUUUGUAA